GAAUUUGUUUGAUUUACUUUUUUUGUUGGUCUGUCAGUUUUUCCAUGAUUAUACGGUUAUGGGUUUGAAUUUGUUUGAGCUCCAGUUUGUUGUUCCUGUUCAGAACUAAUCUAAGUAGUUUUCAAUUAACCUGGGUUUGGAUUUGUGGUUUUCUUUUCAGCAAAAGUAAGAGAAGAGUUGGGUUUCUGUUCUUGGUAGGAUUUGGAUGUUCUUCGGUUAUACGGUGGCUUCCUUGAUUUCAUGGAUUUGUUUUGUGAUUUUUUAUUAGAUUAGUGUAUGUGAUUUGGCUUUGUUUGGUAGUCUGGGUUUUAUAUUUUCAAUGGUCCCAAGAUCCAAUUUUUUUUGAAGAUUCUGAGGGAAAAGGAUUGGGUUGAAAAGAAAUAGAACAAGAAUUUGGGGUUCAUUUGUCGGUUUGAUUCAUUAGGUUGCAACGAUAUUUUGGGUCAGCCAUAUUUGAAGCAUCAUCAAAGCUAAAGGUUCUGUUUUUAGGAGUGAAUGAAAAGAAGCACCCCAGGAAUCUUCCAAGGACUUGCGCACUUAUUCAUAGUGAUGUAACCUCAAAGCUCACUCUUGCCAUCUCACAAACUAUAAACAACACUUGGUUAACGUAGAGCAGAUUUUUCUGAGGAAAGAGGUCUUACUUUUGGAGUCUCUGUUGGAGUUGAAUGAGCUGACACAGAGAUCAGGAUUGUAAAGAAGGACGAGCCAGGAACUUCAAUGCAGUUGUACUUGGUUCUGGACACACCUGCAAAUGGCAUAAAGCAAUAUUGUCAAGUAGAUUUUGCAAAGCAACGUAGUGAUAUCGGUAACAGCGAGCUAUCAAAUUUGCAAGUAUUUUGAAUUCAGGUAUGAAUGUUUAAAUGAUGUUGGUAAUAAAAAGAAACACUGCUACCAGAGAUAUUACAAACACGGGCAGAUCCAUGUUUUCCAAAUCCAAAUCACUGAGACAAACGACUUCACAGUAAAAGCAAUCUUUCCACACACAGAUCAUCAACCAGGUACCAGCACACCAGCUCAUCCACUGUAUGAAAAAAAAAGAUUGGUUGAUAGAAGCAAGAAACAAUUGUUUGCUACCAAUCCAGAGAAAAAACCUCCCUGUGAUACAGAGACAAGCCUUGAAUUAGCGGCCUCAACAUCAGACACACUGAACAAAGAAAAAAUAGAUUGAAGUGUGAUGUGGCUUUUCCUGUAAAUACAAAUGGAGGAAACACUUUUUUGAACAACCUCCACAACUAUGUAGCACCUUUUGGCUAGGCUAACAACUCUUCAACAACUGCUAUCACUUUUGGUAUAAAUGUAACUGGAGGAAGCACCAUUUUGAAAAACCUCUGCUGAUACGUGGUAACGAACAUCAACACCUUUUCUCAGACCGAUCAAAUGUAGCUAGGUUAGCCUAUAAGUAGAACAAUAUAUUUUUGACAAGCUGUGUCAACAGCAGUUGUAUUGUAUAUUUGCACGUUAUCGAAACACUUAUAUUAAUAGUAAUGUUAGUUGUAAAUAUAAGUCUCUAGCUAUCCAAGCUUGCAGAUUCUGUUUGAACA